UAGAGGCACCCAGCAAGACCACGGUGAAGAGGGCCUUUCUAGCAAAUGCUCAGCCUUGAGGCAUUUCUGCUAAAAGCAUUUUAGGAGUCAUUCUGGGUCUCACAGAAGGACUUUCUCAUGAGGGAUUCACAGUCUUCAAUCCUUCAAAAGAUCAGAAAGGGAAAUUGCCAAUAUAAGCCACUGACCAUGAAAGGAGGGCUCAGGCAACCACCCUGUGAUUAAUCCAGAUGCAGACAGGAAACUGUGUGUGAGAAAUUUCUGCCUACAGUGUGAGAACACUGUGACAACUGAUGAGUGUACUCAGGAGUGUGUGACUCCCUGUGUGUCCAUAGCAUCCUUGCCAAGCAUCUUCCACAUGGCCAGAUUUGCAGCUAUCAUUUGACCACAGGAAGAAAAAAAAUUUUCUGGCUGAGGACGUUUGCCUUUGAUUCACUUUUGUUCCACUGAGGUCCCGAUUCUGCAGAGCAGAGAUUUCUCCCACUGCAUAUCUGAGCAGCAGCAGUCACCUACACAUGACACCUACUGCUUUUAAACACAACUGCAGAACAAAUUAAUACCUUAAACUUUCACAGUAUUUAGCACCCCAGGAUUUGACAUGCUGACAACAAAGGCCUUCCACCUUCCCUCAGAGGAAAACAGUGGAAUAAAAAUAGGGAAAACCAGCUUGUGACUCUGCAGUGCUGCAACAGCACCACCAAGAGAAGCAUGCCCAGGCUGGCAGAGACCCACUGCUUCUCCCACAGGGAUUAUUUGUGCCUAGUGCUAAGAAAAGUGGGACUGCACAUGCCCAUGCUGAUAUUUUAGGGCCACAGUGAAUCCUGGGCACAUGCUCAUUGCCAAGACUGCUGUUCCAUAGCCUGGCUGAUGGGUCUGCAGCAGACCAUGAAGAUUCCCAAAAUAUUUUCCAGCCUUUCAAACGUCAUGGGAUAGGGGCACACAAGAGUCACAGAAGUUACAACAGAGCACUAGACUCAGAGGGUGGCUGGUGCUGUGCUGAGGCCAUGCUGGGAUGAGGAGAUGAAGCUGAGCAGCCCUGUGAGGCACUUCCAAUCCCAUUGUCAUUCCACGUGAAGAAGUGUGAAUUUAAAUGAUCAGACAAAACAUCUAAGAAACAUGGAAUUAAACUGUUUCAUCUUAACUGUUCAUCCACUCCUGUUUACAGAGCAUUGGCUAUGGCUGCUGGUAAUACCAAAUAUGCUGAAUUUUAUAACCACUUUAGAUUACUCCAGCUGGGCUUCAAAAAACAGAAAAAUAAAAUGGUUUUGUACUCCCCAAAUGGUUUCAGUACUAGCUUAAUGCAGAAGUCUAGAGAAGUAAAAUACAGAGCAUUUUGGCCUUUGCUUCAGACAGAGCAAGCAAAGUUCUUCUGGGAACUCAUUAACCAGUGACCAGGCAGAUCUCACAGCUGUAUGAGAUCAGCAGCCAAAAAUGUUUUUUAAAAACAAUGACCUGUCCUUAAAGGGGAAAUACUUUAAAAUACAAUGAGGUUACAGAAAUACAGUGAAAACUAUAUUUACAUUAUAUAAAAAUGUACUAUUGCUUAUCUAUAAUAUGUAGCAACUAUACAUCUAUAUGCAGAGUACAUGAUGCAAGUGUAUCAUUAUGCAGUGUGAUUCUCUCUACACAAUGUUAUGUCCUCUGUAAUUUCUGCAGUAAGAAUAAAGUUCGCUUCUACAUCUAUGAGCAUUUCUGCCUCACCACCUCUAGGCUAAGCUGUUCCAGCAUUGAAUAAUUUUUCUUUUGAUGUAUGCUGUUUCCAGUCUGAAUUUCCACCAUAUUAGAUGCUGGUUUACUCUUACAAGAUUAAAGAGCUACCUAUUAAAAAAUGUCCAGGUGUAAGUACUUGAAGUACCCUUUUAAACUAACUUUGGCUUAGUAAUUAGGCAUAGCUCAGGACUCCUGGUAAAAAAUGAAUUUCCAGAUGUCAGGUAAUUCUGCUAUUGCUCUUGAACUUUUCAAUUUUUUCCCAGUGUUCUUUCUGAAAUGGGUCAGAGCACUCCAAUAAUCUCACUAAUAUCAUAGGUAAAGAUAUUCCCACUUCUUUUCGCCCCAGAUAUCAUGGUUAAAACCACUAAUAAUAAAUAUUUCUGCUGCUCUUUGCAAAUCUGCAUUCUCUAUAAAGUUCACUAACUAAAUCACCAACAAGUUUCUAUACAAAAACUUAGCAAUUAAAGUCUGUUUGCAAGGUAAUUGAGUUUUAGCAUCACAUUAAAACCUCUCAAACAGGACCUGGCUUCCACAUGGCAGUAAGCAUUUGAGAACCCUUUCUAUACAUCCAGAAGAUACAGAAAACCAGUUAAAUAUAAAACCUGCUACAUGCAAGCCUGGUCCAUAGUGUCACUUAUAUCACUUUCCUAUUUCUGUUGGCUGCAGGCUUAUGUUCAAGGUAAACCCUUCCUAGGCUAUAUUGUAAGAAAAGAGAUUGCAAAUCAGUGCAAGGAGGGACGAAUCACAUCCUCUUUCCUCCCCUUUCAUUUUGCUCUUGCUCCUUUCGGAAUAAUGUGAAGUCAUAAUGAUGCAGUCAGGGUUUGUUGAAUAUAACUGUUUUCUGCAUAGUGUACAAAUGUGCUAAAACUUAAUACCAUUAAUAAAACAAGAACAACUCAUAAAAGUAAUUCCAAAUGGUUUUAAUUUGUGUAUCUCAUCCAAGACCAUCAGAUGUCUCCCUCAGUGAAAUUAACCAGCAGUGUUUAUUUGAAUUUUGAAUGCUAGAGAGUUUUGUUUUGUUUAACAGCCUAGGCUAUGAGCAAUUACCCCACUCUGUCAGCAUUGUUUGUUUCUAUAGGUGAUGUUGUGUUGUGCAGGCCAAACAGAAAUGAUUGCGUUUAUUUCUAACAAAUACAAAACUUUAAAUUUUGGAUUGGAUUUUUCCAGAAGAAUCUUAGGCUGUUCAGCAACCAGAUCACUUUACAUUCCUCUGUGCCUGAGGAUUAAACCUGGAAAGAGUCAGAUUCAGACUAAGCUCUGCAACAUUUGUUUAGAUAUUAUCCUUCAGCUGAGCCCACCCAAGAGCCUCCUAUGAAAAUCCUAAAGCCACUGCAGUAUGUCAGGCAGAGUUCCAUGUGGAUUGCCCAGGCUCCUGAAAGCUGCUGUCUUGGCCAAAGACACAAGCAGCACACCACUCACCCCAGAGCAGAAGAUCUCAGGAUCUCAGAAUAAAUUAAGUGGCCUAAACCAAUUGCACACAUUUAGUUCACUUCUAAUAAUUUCAUUGAAUCAUUAAAAGCACAAAAACUGCAGGAGUAUUUGACAACCGUCUAAACACCUGCUUAAAAAUUUGGCUUCCCAGCCUCACUGACCUUUCUGCAGCUCCCACCCAUGUCUCUCUCCAUCGUGACCAGCAUCAUCCAGCUUCACCCUUCUGAGAGGUGGACAUUACUGCAAUUGCUCUUUUGCAUAUAUACAUAUAUAUGUAUAAAUAUAUAUAUACAUAUAUUUAUAUAUCUAAAUUUAAAAAUCAGAUUUAAAAUAGAUUUAAUUGAAAUUAAUUGAAAUUAAUUAAACUGCUCCUGGCUGAUCAGAGAAACUUAUUGUUAGGUAGCAAACAGGAAAAAAAAAUCCUUUACCUGCAAUGUUUUUCUGAACCUGAGGGUUUUCCACUCAGGACUGGAAGGUGUUACAGAGGCUGGGAUAGUGUUGUGCCUCCAGGCUCAAGCAACAAGUUCAGGUGAUAAUGGGCCGCAGCCUCACUGCAAAGCUUCCUUAUCCAUCUCGUUUUACCUGUUUACACGCACGGCUGCCUUGGCCCCCCUUUUGUGGGAGGCCUGGAUUUGCCAGCUGGUCUCCAAGGUGACACUGUAGGCUGUGGCUGGCCCAAUCUGCAAUUACGCUGC